CUACUCUUGACAUCCAGAGAAUUCGCUAGAGAUAGCUUAGUGCCUUCGGGAACUCUGAGACAGGUGCUGCAUGGCUGUCGUCAGCUCGUGUUGUGAAAUGUUGGGUUAAGUCCCGCAACGAGCGCAACCCUUAUCCUUGUUUGCCAGCACGUAAUGGUGGGAACUCCAGGGAGACUGCCGGUGAUAAACCGGAGGAAGGUGGGGACGACGUCAAGUCAUCAUGGCCCUUACGAGUAGGGCUACACACGUGCUACAAUGGCGUAUACAGAGGGCUGCAAGCUAGCGAUAGUAAGCGAAUCCCACAAAGUACGUCGUAGUCCGGAUUGGAGUCUGCAACUCGACUCCAUGAAGUCGGAAUCGCUAGUAAUCGUGAAUCAGAAUGUCACGGUGAAUACGUUCCC
rnacentral:rRNA from 1 species